UUGGGAGAGUUUUUGGGAGAGCAAGCUUCCAAGUUUGUUUAGCCCUUUUUUUAACUUGUAUUCUUUUAAAUUUUGCUGUACUUUGCUUUGUGCUAAAUUUACUUUUUUAAGUUUGGCUUUUUGCUUUGAUAGACAUGUAACCAAACUGUAAAUUCUAGAUUGUUUUUGGUUGAAUUAAAACCACUUCUAUUGAUUUGAACUGUUUUUGUAGAGAGUAGAGAGGAGUAGAGAGGAGUCAAGAACACAGACAGCCAGACUAAGGAUUGCUGCAGCCGUCUGGUAGACAAUACUGGAGCAUACAGGAACGGAUCACCAGACUUCCCUGUAUCCCCCAGGCCAUGGCAACCCCCACUUGAAGGCGGGAAAUGUUCAUUUCCGUAAUAACUUGCACUGGUCGACAAGACAACCUGGUAUCAGCAGCUGAGAGGUAAAAACUUUUAUUAACGAAAUAUACAUCUUAUACAUACAAAGCAUAGACAUAUUAUAGGAGACACAACAUACAUGACACACACCAGAGACAGUACAUACAUUAUUUGCCGUAAAUAAAUGAAGAGACUUGAAAUGUGUUUGUUUGUCAUGGUGACAUACUGACAAAGACACUAUGACUACAUGUUUACAUUCUCUUCACUCUUUGGUGCUGACUCUGUGGUCACCAUAGCCUUAGAGCAGACCCUUUGUCUGACACUUUAUUGGAAGAUGCGUUUAUGAUUUUUCUCUAUUUAUUUGUCUGACAUUUUUCAGUAUCCAAUAGUUUCUGAUUGAACAGAAACCCAAUCCUCAAACUUACUUAAAAUAGUUGUGGUUUCAUAUGUUCACUAACAGGUUCUGGAAAAGCGGAGGAGAUAACAAAAGAUAGAGGGAAUCCUCCGCAACAGCGAGAUCAACUUAAGCGCAUGCACAAACAACAGUAUAGAGGCAGAAACUAAAACAAGAGAAAAGUGGCCAACAAGGGAGCACAAUCUUUUCUAUUCGAUUAUGUAUUCUUAUUCAUUCUGUAUGCCAGCCAAUUAGCUAAUUAGAAAGAAUGCCAAAUUAGCUAUUGUUUAAAAAAAAAAUCCCAAAACAAUUUUGUCUUACAAUGGAAAUACCAUACCCUUUGGACAUCAAGAAAAAGGAUAAAAAAGAUUUUAAAGAGAUGAUACUGCAUAAGAACCCUGAAUCUAUAUAUGCUGAUUUCUCAGACAAAAGUGGAAUGAUGACCAACCUGAUUUUUUACACAAAUUGUACUACAGUUUGGGAAGAUACCAUCUUUAAGUCCUUCAACUUAAUGAAAAAAAGAGGUAUUAGCAAAGGCAUUCAAAUAACUAUAUUUAACAGUGAAGAUUGUAGGCCUAAAUCUAAAUUAAUAAACAUAAAUCUUUAUGAUAGCGGAAUGGUCUUAAUUCAAGGGAAAGAAACAUGUCUUCAGGAUUUUGAACGCAUAUUUGAAUCAUUGAAACAAAACAAAGAAAAAGCAGAACUCAUUCCAAAAGGUGAUGAGUCUGGAGAAAAGAAGGAAAAGGUGGAAGCCAAGGUGGAGACGAACCCCCCUUCUCACUAAUCAGACCCUUAAACUGGGCUUGACAUGGGUAUUCUCGAGGUGUGACCCCUGUGCAAAAUUGUUAAUGACGUUCCACUUAAGAUGUGUUUUUGUUGCACUGUUCUAUGUUAUAUUCUCUUUCACCUGGCCUAAGGGCAUCGGAAGCAGUACUUAGCAGUUCAUUACUUCUUAUGAUACUGUAACUGCGAGUUUGUCUCUUCUCUGCACUUUGUAUUUGAAUUUGAGAUCAACUGUACCGUGCACUAAAGUCAGAAGUCAAAGUAAAGUAAGUUAUUAAACAAGUGCACAGUAUACCACAAGGUCAUUCAGAACAAUGAAAUCCUUAGGACAUGGCAAGCAACAGCUACGUAGUACGUAGUAGACAUAUAAAAUAUAUAAUAGUUUAAAACACUAGAAGGAAAGAAAUAUAUAAAUUCUAUAUAUAUAUAAAUUAUAGCAGUAAAACAAAGGCAAGAAUCACUAAACUACCAGUAAAGCACUAGCAGAAAAAAUUGCAGCACUGUUAUUGAAAUGUUAUCGUUGUACUAUGGUUGUUGUAAUUAAGUAACUGAGAUGUUGUUAUUGCACUAUCAUGCCUGGUAGCUGAGAUGUGCUCACUGGAAUUUCUGCUUUACUUUCUAAAUGCACUAUUUGUAUAUCUCUUUAAAUUACUGCAAAUGUAAAGAAUUAAAGUGUUUCUCCUGGCGCAUAUAGAUUAUUAGGGCCAUUCCACCGAUUGGGUGACAUUUGCCUGUAGUAACUUUUAAAGAAUUAACUUAAUUUGUUAUAUUUUUUCAACACUGAAUCUAAUAACACACAUAUUUCACUGUUCAAAAUGUAUAUUGGUCAAUCUUGGGUAACAUUAUUUAAUUUUUGAGUGUGACUUUGUGUAUCAUUUUCAUCAUAUAAGUAACAGGAAUGAUUGUAACAGGACUGAGAUUUUAGCAUAGAAUUAGCAUAUAUACAUGAAAUAUAGCCACAUGGCAUGCAUGCUAAUAGCAUGAGGAUACUGAGCAAAUUCUAGUGAUUUAUCAAAAAUGUAUAUAUUUAAAAUAAACAAAUAACAUCUAACAAUAAAUUUAAAUUUUGGCUGCUCGCAAUGUUUGGGGCUAUCUCGUUGUUAUGAUCAGUGACUUUGUAAAGCUCUCUUGGAAGUCGCUUUGGAUAAAAGCGUCUGCU